rnacentral:misc_RNA from 1 species
UUAAACUCAAUAUGUAAUGAGCUUUUGUUUAGGUUUGGGUUUAUGUUUAGAUUGUCACUUUCAAUGCUAGGAUCAUAACAUAAAUGGAAAAUUUUGAAAAUUUUUAGCACAAACUAUUUGAAAAUAUAUUUCUUUUAAUUUUUUAUUUACACCAUCUGUUACAUUUUUACAUCAAUUUUUUAGUAAUUUAGUAUUACAACCCAUGCAUAUAAAAAAUAUAAUUUUUUAAUUAACUUUUUAAAAUGAAUUAUUUCUUUGACUCUUUUUUUAAUACUAUAAAUUGUUAGCCAUACAAGACUAGAAUGAUAUUUAGUUAAAUUCUUCAUUUAAUGUUGAUUUGAGUUGUCUUGUGAUUUGGCAAAACAAUUCAUGAUCAUGAUAGUGGUGCUCAAUGUUUUCCUAUUCAAUCUGAUUCUGAAACUGUUGGAGAUUCUGUUAUUCAAAACCUUGUUGGGAAUACCAUUGUUUGUGCUUUUUCUAUGCAAUUAAUUUAGUCUUAAUGGCAUGUUAGCUUUUAAACAUUUUGCCAAGAUCGUGGGGCUGUUGUCAGUAACUUAGUUGGUGCUGAAGGAUAUGAUUUAGAAUGCAUAGAUUGGUAUCUUGGAAGGUUAUGGCCUUCAGUAGCCUGAUGCUGAAGCCAACACUAAAUCCAUAUUUGUUAUAACCAGUACCACCUUCACCCUGGCCGAGACAACAUCAAACAACACGGCUCCUGCCAUAAUGAAAUGUUUCCCACCAUCAUUACUGGCAUUUUUGGUUUUGCAUUAACAAUGCUGUCAUUGCUGACAUUCUUAUCUGCUUUCAGUACUACCAGUACCUUUAAAAAUUUCUUUAGUAUAUCUCCACCACCUUGUCUGGUGGCUUGCCACUACCACAGGCACUAGAAAAGCUGUUGCCAUUUAAAAUCUAAUUUCAUUGUGAGCCUUGUGAUUGUGACUAUGGUUUCUUAUCUCAGAAUUCAAGUAUCAAGUUUGAUUCCAAGAUCAAUCAAUUAGCUCUUGUCAUCAAAGUUUUAAUUUACUGACCAUUUCAUAAACAUGAAAUUUAUCCUAUAUACAACACUGUAAAUUUAAUCUUGGGGGUAGUUACCUGUGGAUCCAUUCCUAUUCCUAAGUUAGGGUGCUGUUGUGGGGUGGGGGCCUCCUGAGAAGUAAAACAGUUGAAUAUUAAUUUGAGGCAGUGUUGAUGUUUGGCCAUAUGUUUUGCCAUGUCCUCUACUGUUAUGAGUACUUUUUCCCCCCAGUGAGACUGAAACUUAUUGUUGAUUGGGUCUUGAAUUUGGUAUGUGUUCUCUGAAACCUUGUCCUGACUUGCAUAUCUGUACUUGGCAAAAAGGAAAUAGUAAAGAAGAGGAAACAUUUAAAUGAAUUUUAAGCUUGCAAAUAUAAUAAACAUUGUUAAACAGGUUUCGAAGGACAGUCUGAUGUCACCACUGUUUGAAUAUUGGCAAGUAUCUAGGAUAAUUUUAGGUUCAUGUAAAAUAUGCAACGAUUUCACCUCAUGUUCAUGGACGUUAGCAAUUAUUUUUGACCAGAUUCAAGCUGCUAGAAGCCAAAUCUUUUGAUAAAAUUGUAAAAACUCUGCCUUGAUGAAAGACUUUCAUUAUCACAGCUUUAAAUUGAAAUUCAGUUAACAUCUAAGCACCAUUUGGAUAAUAACUAAUCAGGUAUCAGCACACCACUGAGUAUGUCAAAAAUUCUGUAUCUGAUUUUAAUAGUUAACAUUAUUUGGAAUUUGUGGUUGAAGUCACUGCUUUUGAAUACUGAUUAGGUAAUAUGAAAAUAAGAUAUUACAAUGACUGUUUAGAAACUUGUUGACUAAUAGUUUGGGGCUGAUUUUUUUUUUCCUUGUAUUCACUUCUUGGUAUUUAUUUGAUUUUGAUAUUACACCAUGUAGGUAGUUAUUUCCCAGAUGAAUGGACAAGAUCAUCCAUCACAUUCUGUUCACACAUUUAAUGUGGGAAAAAUGAGGAUAAAGCUCUGUAGAGGGUGGAUUACAAAGGCUAGAGAAAUUUAUUCUGCAUCUAUGCAGUUAUGUGGAGUUCGAGCUAAUGGUAAUGCUGCAGCAAAGGCGUUAUUCUGGCAACCGAGGAAGGGUCUUUCAUUUGUAUUGACAUUUGAAUCAGAACGAGAAAGGAAUGCAGCCAUAAUGAUUGCCAGGAAAUAUGCUCUUGAUUGUAAUGUGAGUAUCUUUUUCUGUACUUUUUAUCUAUGCACUUAAAUUUAUUAAGCAUUAUCAGUUUUGCUUGUUUUUCCAUGCAUCCCAGUAAAAUUUCAUGCAAGGUCACUGAAUUUUCUGCUAAAAAGCUCCCUUCCCCAUUUUUAUCUUAGAGGUUCCAUGUAAAGCUUAUAUUGGCAUAAUUGUUUAUGUCAAUAAAUUCUGAUCAUGAACUUGAUGUUUGAUUUUUAGCUUCAUCAUCAUGAUGUUUUUACUUCUCAGCUCUGAUUUUAUGCUUCCAAACUUUCACAAAUAUGCAUAAAUUUUUCAAAGCUCUUAAAAUGGAUUUUCAUUUUCUGCACAAAUGCUUAUAGCUAAAUUUUAUGAGAUAAACUAGUAGUGAACCAGCUUAUUGUGCAAGAUAUUAUUUUAUUUUUAUUAAACUAUAUUUUUUAUUUUAUAUAUAUUUUGAAGUGUUUUAGUAAAGUUAAUCUAUUUGACAAUAAACAAUAUAUAUUUGGUGUGUGAGCUGGAGGACACUGGUUUGAGCCACAAAAACAGCCCCUUUGCAAAGCAGGGGUAAAGCUGCGUACAUAAACCUCUCUAGAACCCACAAGUGUGAAAUGUUUCGUGCAUUGAAUCACCCCUUUUUAUUUAUAAACUGUAACUUGGAAAAAAGAUCAGUGGGCUGUCCUUCGAUGGAAAAGGUGUUUUUAUCACUAAUCUGCCUACUCCUCCUCCUCCUUUUUAAUGUACUUAAUUACAAAUAUCUUUAACAUAUUACAAUGGUGGAAUGACAGGUGAUACUUGCUGGACCAGAGGAUCAAUUAUAGAACAAAAUGUAACUGACACAAGUGUUUUUACUUUACCAUGUGAGGAUAAUCAGGUUUAGAUAGUGUGGGAGUGAUUUGUAUGCGUGUUUGCACCAUGAUGAAGAGGAAUGCACCUUUAUUGUAUUGGUCUGCUAAGCUUGUUGCUGUCGUCUUAGGCAUCGUUUUUUAUUUGCCUAAUCUAUUGUAACAAAUUCAUCU